GACGAACGCCGGCGGCGUGCCUAAUACAUGCAAGUUGAGCGCUUCUUUCUUAUCGAACUUCGGUUCACCAAGAAAGAAGAGUAGCGAACGGGUGAGUAACACGUGGGUAACCUGCCCAUCAGUGGGGGAUAACACUUGGAAACAGGUGCUAAUACCGCAUAAUACUUUUUCUCUCAUGAGUGAAAGUUGAAAGGCGCUUUUGCGUCACUGAUGGAUGGACCCGCGGUGCAUUAGCUAGUUGGUAGGGUAACGGCCUACCAAGGCAACGAUGCAUAGCCGACCUGAGAGGGUGAUCGGCCACACUGGGACUGAGACACGGCCCAGACUCCUACGGGAGGCAGCAGUAGGGAAUCUUCGGCAAUGGACGAAAGUCUGACCGAGCAACGCCGCGUGAGUGAAGAAGGUUUUCGGAUCGUAAAACUCUGUUGUUAGAGAAGAACAAGGAUGAGAAGAGAAUGUUCAUCCCUUGACGGUAUCUAACCAGAAAGCCACGGCUAACUACGUGCCAGCCGCCGCAGUAA
rnacentral:rRNA from 1 species